rnacentral:rRNA from 1 species
GUCCACGCCGUAAACGAUGUCAACUAGUUGUUGGGUAUAUAAAGAUACUUAGUGACGCAGCUAACGCGAUAAGUUGACCGCCUGGGGAGUACGGUCGCAAGACUAAAACUCAAAUGAAUUGACGGGGGCCCGCACAAGCGGUGGAGCAUGUGGUUUAAUUCGAUGCAACGCGAAGAACCUUACCAGGUCUUGACAUCCAGAGAAUCUUUCAGAGAUGAGAGAGUGCCUUCGGGAAUUCUGAGA